rnacentral:lncRNA from 1 species
CGCUUCUGCUUUCCUCCUCUUCUUCCUCAUUUUCUUCCUUCUUUCCUCUGGUUUUUGCUUCUCCUCAUUAUGUUCUUGCUGCACGUCCACUAGCCCAUCUCUCCAUCAUCCACCACACCAGCCACCUCCACGCCACAACUACAGCAGCAACAUCACCACCCGUCCAGCUCCGCCUUGCUCCACCAACCACACCAAGAUCAGCAGCCCCUCCAAGAACCGAAACCAACAGCUUCAGGACUGAGUUCUAACAAUAAGCAGAGACUUGCAAGGCUGUUCUCAGCCCCUUCAAGCCCUCAUUUAGGGUCGUCGUAGACACGGGUCUUCACUGCCUUCGC